rnacentral:piRNA from 4 species
AUUUCCGUGGAGAGGAACAAUUCUGA